UACGAAGGAUGCAAGCGUUAUCCGGAUUUAUUGGGUUUAAAGGGAGCGUAGGCGGUCUUAUAAGUCAGUGGUGAAAUCUCGUUGCUUAACAACGACCGUGCCAUUGAUACUGUAGGACUUGAGUACAGUUGCCGUUGGCGGAAUGUGUCAUGUAGCGGUGAAAUGCUUAGAUAUGACAUAGAACACCAAUUGCGAAGGCAGCUCACUACACAAUGAUUGACGCUGAGGCACGAAAGCGUGGGGAUCAAACAGG
rnacentral:rRNA from 1 species